GGUCAAGUGACUAAGCGUACACGGUGGAUGCCUUGGCAGUCAGAGGCGAUGAAGGACGUGGUAAUCUGCGAUAAGCGUUGGCGAGUUGAUAAACAAACCGUGACCCAACGAUUUCCGAAUGGGGAAACCCACUCACGUAAGUGAGUAUCCUUUACCUGAAUACAUAGGGUUUAGGAGGCGAACCCGGGGAACUGAAACAUCUAAGUACCCGGAGGAAAAGAAAUCAACCGAGAUUCCCCUAGUAGCGGCGAGCGAACGGGGAGCAGCCCUUAAGCAAUAUUGGUGUUAGUGGAACGCCCUGGAAAGUGCGGCCAUAGUGGGUGAUAGCCCCGUACACGAAAACCCUUUUAUUGUGAAAUCGAGUAGGACGGCACACGUGAAAUGCUGUCUGAACAUGGGGGGACCAUCCUCCAAGGCUAAAUACUCCUGACUGACCGAUAGUGAACCAGUACCGUGAGGGAAAGGCGAAAAGAACCCCGUUGAGGGGAGUGAAACAGAACCUGAAACCGUGUACGUACAAGCAGUGGGAGCAUCCUUCGGGGUGUGACUGCGUACCUUUUGUAUAAUGGGUCAGCGACUUAUUUUCAGUGGCAAGGUUAACCGUAUAGGGAAGCCGUAGCGAAAGCGAGUCUUAAUAGGGCGUCCUCUCUUAGGAGAAAAGUCGCUGGGAAUAGACCCGAAACCGGGCGAUCUAUCCAUGAGCAGGUUGAAGAUCAGGUAACACUGACUGGAGGACCGAACCCACUGUCGUUGAAAAGCCAGGGGAUGACUUGUGGAUAGGAGUGAAAGGCUAAUCAAGCCCGGAGAUAGCUGGUUCUCCUCGAAAGCUAUUUAGGUAGCGCCUCUUGUCUCACCAUCGGGGGUAGAGCACUGUUUGGGCUAGGGGGUCAUCCCGACUUACCAACCCCAUGCAAACUCCGAAUACCGAUGAGUGCAAUCAAGGGAGACACACGGCGGGUGCUAACGUCCGUCGUGGAAAGGGAAACAACCCAGACCGUCAGCUAAGGUCCCAAAGUAAUAGUUAAGUGGGAAACGAUGUGAGAAGGCCCAGACAGCCAGGAGGUUGGCUUAGAAGCAGCCACCCUUUAAAGAAAGCGUAAUAGCUCACUGGUCGAGUCGGCUCGCGCGGAAGAUGUAACGGGGCUCAAACUAUUCACCGAAGCUACGGGUGGUCAGAAGACAGAUGACAGAGGACAGAAGACAGUGAAGAACGAUGAAUCGUCACUUCGCUGCUAUAGUUCCCUCUUUCAUCAUUGAAAGAUGUACAGAAGCAAUGAAUGAGUCGGCUAAAACUGUUAAUGGCUUUGAAGACCUUGAAGUAUUCAAAAGAGCUUACAAUUUGCAGGGUUAGCGGAUCAAAUGCGUCGAGCCAGUAAAGGUAUCUGCGCAAACAUUGCGGAAGGCUAUGGUAAACAAAGCGUAUCUAACGCUGAGUUUCGAAGGUUUUUAUUAAUGGCCAUCGGAUCAGCCGACGAAAUGCGAGUCUGGACGAGAUACAGCCUUGACCUUGGUUAUAUAACCUUGAAUCAAUGGCAAGCUCUGAAGGCUGAAUACCAACAAAUAGCCCGGAUGUUGACAGGAUUACACAGAAGCUGGAAAUAGCUUCUAAGCAACCUGUCCUCCGUCUUCUGUCAUCUGUCUUCUGAUUGCGGUAGAGGAGCGUUGUGUAAGCGGUUGAAGGUGUGCCGGGAGGCAUGCUGGACGUAUCACAAGUGCGAAUGCUGACAUGAGUAACGAUAAAGGGAGUGAGAUCCUCCCUCGCCGGAAGACCAAGGGUUCCUGCGCAACGCUAAUCGGCGCAGGGUGAGUCGGCCCCUAAGGUGAGGUCGAAAGACGUAAUCGAUGGGAAACAGGUUAAUAUUCCUGUACUCCUUUUGACUGCGACGGAGUGACGGAGAAGGCUAGGCCGGCAGGGCGAUGGUUGUCCCUGUUUAAGGUCGUAGGCUGUGGGUUCAGGCAAAUCCGGACCCACAAAGCCGAGAACUGAUGACGAACCCACUACGGUGGGGAAGUGGUUGAUGCCAUGCUUCCAGGAAAAACUUCUAAGCUUCAGGUCAAAAGGAACCGUACCCCAAACCGACACAGGUGGUCAGGUAGAGAAUACCAAGGCGCUUGAGAGAACUUGGGUGAAGGAACUAGGCAAAAUGGCACCGUAACUUCGGGAGAAGGUGCGCCGGCUGGUGUGAAGGGCUUGCCCCGUAAGCACCGGCUGGUCGAAGAUACCAGGUGGCUGCGACUGUUUAUUAAAAACACAGCACUGUGCUAACACGUAAGUGGACGUAUACGGUGUGACGCCUGCCCGGUGCCGGAAGGUUAAUUGAUGCUGUUAUUCUUCGGAAGAAGCGGUUGAUCGAAGCCCCGGUAAACGGCGGCCGUAACUAUAACGGUCCUAAGGUAGCGAAAUUCCUUGUCGGGUAAGUUCCGACCUGCACGAAUGGCGUAACGAUGGCCACGCUGUCUCCACCCAAGACUCAGUGAAAUUGAAAUCGCUGUUAAGAUGCAGUGUAUCCGCGGCUAGACGGAAAGACCCCGUGAACCUUUACUACAGCUUCACAGUGGAUCUUGAUGUUGCUUGUGUAGGAUAGGUGGGAGGCUUUGAAACGUGGACGCCAGUCUGCGUGGAGCCGACCUUGAAAUACCACCCUGGCAAUAUUGAGGUUCUAACCCAGGUCCCUAACCGGGAUCGGGGACAUUGUGUGGUGGGUAGUUUGACUGGGGCGGUCUCCUCCCAAAGAGUAACGGAGGAGCACGAAGGUUGGCUAAGCACGGUCGGACAUCGUGCGGUUAGUGUAAAGGCACAAGCCAGCUUGACUGCGAGACGUACAUGUCGAGCAGGUACGAAAGUAGGUCUUAGUGAUCCGGUGGUUCUGCAUGGAAGGGCCAUCGCUCAACGGAUAAAAGGUACUCCGGGGAUAACAGGCUGAUACCGCCCAAGAGUUCACAUCGACGGCGGUGUUUGGCACCUCGAUGUCGGCUCAUCACAUCCUGGGGCUGAAGCCGGUCCCAAGGGUAUGGCUGUUCGCCAUUUAAAGUGGUACGCGAGCUGGGUUUAGAACGUCGUGAGACAGUUCGGUCCCUAUCUGCCGUGGACGUUGGAAGUUUGAGGAGAGCUGCUCCUAGUACGAGAGGACCGGAGUGGACGAACCACUGGUGUUCGGGUUGUGUCGCCAGACGCAUUGCCCGGUAGCUAAGUUCGGACGGGAUAACCGCUGAAAGCAUCUAAGCGGGAAGCCCCCUUCAAGAUGAGACUUCCCUUGACCCUAGAGGUCACAUAAGAGACGUUGAAGACUACGACGUUGAUAGGCGGGGUGUGUAAGCGUUGUGAGGCGUUGAGCUAACCCGUACUAAUGACUCGAGAGGCUUGACCAU
rnacentral:rRNA from 1 species